GAUGAACGCUGGCGGCGUGCCUAAUACAUGCAAGUCGAGCGAACAGACGAGGAGCUUGCUCCUCUGACGUUAGCGGCGGACGGGUGAGUAACACGUGGAUAACCUACCUAUAAUACUGGGAUAACUUCGGGAAACCGGAGCUAAUACCGGAUAAUAUAUUGAACCGCAUGGUUCAAUAGUGAAAGACGGUUUUGCUGUCACUUAUAGAUGGAUCCGCGCCGCAUUAGCUAGUUGGUAAGGUAACGGCUUACCAAGGCAACGAUGCGUAGCCGACCUGAGAGGGUGGUCGGCCACACUGGAACUGAGACACGGUCCAGACUCCUACGGGAGGCAGCAGUAGGGAAUCUUGCGCAAUGGGCGAAAGCUUGACGGAGCAACGCCGCGUGAGUGAUGAAGGUCUUCGGAUCGUAAAACUCUGUUAUUAGGGAAGAACAAAUGUGUAAGUAACUAUGCACGUCUUGACGGUACCUAAUCAGAAAGCCACGGCUAACUACGUG
rnacentral:rRNA from 1 species